GGUCUCUUUCCUGUCCUGCCAUGGUAAAGAAGUGCUUAUUUCCCCUUCGCUUUCCACCACGAAUAUUUUUCCUGAGGCCUCCCAGUCAUGCUUCCUGUUUUGCCUGCAGAACUGCAUUUAUGAAGUAGGGACCUGGAAUUGAAGAGACUCCUAAAGGAGAGACAGAAGUUUGAAAGAGCAAGAAGAGUGGAUGUGGAUCCAGACAGAAAAAGAGAACAGCAAAUAUUUGAAAGAGCUUAAGACGUACUCCUCAAGUUUUGGCUGGAAUACUACUGUAAAGAGAUUCUUUCUCUCAUCAACAUUUUGAUUACACAAGAGUACAGAUAAGUAUUGCAAUCUUUCCUUUUAUUAAAUGUCCUCUGAAAGUGACCAAUGAGGCAUAUAUUUGUUUGUUUGCUUGAAUCUUUAUGAACUUAUGGAUUUAAAUCUAUUUGAUAUUUAAAUUGUCCUGACUUUGACCAGUGAGAGUUUAUUUGAUUUGGCGUUUGAGCCAUUGAUUGGAUGAUGCUCAGCUACACUGAGGAGAGCAAACCACUUUACUGAGUUCACCUAUUCAGAUGCUAAUCUCAUCCAGAAACAUCCUCAUAGACAAACCCAGAAAUAAUGUUUAACUUGGGCAUUCUCUGAUCCUGUUUAAUUGAAACAUAACAUUAACUAUCACAAUAUAUUAAUUUUUUACUUUAUCUCUUUUUAACCACUCUAAAACAUUCAAUUCUUAAAGACAUAAAUGUCAUUACUUCACUGAUAUUUCCACAGUGCGUGUGUACCUGGGCAUGUGUGUGCAUGUGGAUGCACAAACAAAAUAAUUGUCUUAGAAUAAAAGUAUAAACAUCACCCCACCAUAGAUAUAAUUGCCAAGAGCAGUUUAAGAUAUUUUAGCUUUUCUCUUUGUGCUUAAGGAAGAUAUAGUUAAAUUUUAUAUAUAUAUAUAUAUAUAUAUUUUUUUUUUUUUUUUUUUUUUUUUUUGAGAUGGAGUAUUGCUCUGUUGCCCAGGCUGGAGUGUAGCGGCAUGAUCUCAGCUCACUGCAACCUCCGCCUCCUGGGUUGAAGUGAUUCUCCUGCCUUAGCCUCCUGAGUAGCUGGGAUUACAGGCACCCACCAACAUGCCUGGCUAAUUUUUUGUAUUUUUAGUGGAGACGGUAUUUCACUAUGUUGGCCAGGCUGGUCUCGAACUCCUGACCUUGUGAUCCGCCCGCCUCAGCCUCCCAAAGUACUGGGAUUACAGGCAUGAGCCAUCAUGCCCAGCCAAAUAAUUGUUUUUAAUGAUCACUUGGAAUAUUUCUCUGUGUAUAUAUUAUGCUACCAAAUGAACACAAAUUAUGUUCAUUUGUUUAAUUUCCCUUUUUUUUAAUAUAUUUUUUAUUUUUAUUUUAUUUUUUUGAGAAGGAGUCUUGCUCCGUUGCCCAGGCUGGAGUGCAGUGGCUCAAUCUUGGCUCACUGCCGCCCCUGCCUCCUAGGUUCAAGUGAUUUUCCUGCCUCAGUGUCCCGAGUAGCUGGAACUACAGGCACAUGCUACCACAUCAGCCUAAUUUUUGUAUUUUUAGUAGAGAUGGGAUUUCGCCAUGCUGGCCAGGCUGGUCUUGAACUUCCGACCUCAGGUGAUCCACCCUCUUUAUCCUCCCAAAGUGGUGGAAGUACAGGUGUGAGCUCCCAUGCCUGGCCAAUUUCUCUUUUUAUUUUUAUUAAUUGUCUUACAAUAAUUUAUUUAAUUUUUAUAACAUUGUAAAAUAUACAUAGUCUGUCUUAGUCUGUUCCAGACUGCUAUAACAAAAUACAUUUGAUUUAUAAAUAAUAGACAUUUAUUCAUCACAGUCUUAGAGACAGGGAAUUGAGGGAAUUGCAAGAUGAAGGUGCUGGCACACUUGGUGGCUGGGGAAGGCUUGCUGUUUGCUUCACAGGUGCUGUUUUGUUGCUGUGUCUUCACGGGAAAGCAAGGCAAUAAGGGGGGAGAAAAAGAAUCCCUCAGGCCUUGUUAUAAAGUCACUAAUUCCAUUCAUGAGGGGAGAGCCUUCAUGACCUGAUCAAGUGUUUGUCCAGGCUACUUAACAAAUUUGUUUUUGUUAUUUAUCCCCUCUCUUUAUAAAGAAAUUUAUUUAAUUAAAAUUAGAUAAUUUCCUCCAUUUUAUAAAAAUUCUACAGUUAAAAAUACUUUAUUCCUAUUAUCUUUUACUACAGAAUCCUUUUUUCCCUCCCCCAAGGUCACCAAUAAUUGUCAUCAAUAAUUUCUGUGUUGCCAAAUUGAAUAGUCUCAAACAGGCCUCACCUACUUCAAGUUUUCUGCAGCAUUUGAUAAUUUUUUGUGUGUGUUUUUGUUUUUUAAUAUUUCCUACAUUUGGCACCUGUCAAAACUGGAGAGUGGAUAAAUAACAGAAGCA
rnacentral:lncRNA from 1 species